rnacentral:rRNA from 1 species
GACGAACGCUGGCGGCGUGCCUAACACAUGCAAGUCGAACGGAACUGUUUUGAAAGAUUUCUUCGGAAUGAAUUUGAUUUAGUUUAGUGGCGGACGGGUGAGUAACGCGUGAGUAACCUGCCUUCAAGAGGGGGAUAACAUUCUGAAAAGAAUGCUAAUACCGCAUGAUAUAUCGGAACCACAUGGUUUUGAUAUCAAAGAUUUUAUCGCUUGAAGAUGGACUCGCGUCCGAUUAGUUAGUUGGUGAGGUAACGGCUCACCAAGACCGCGAUCGGUAGCCGGACUGAGAGGUUGAACGGCCACAUUGGGACUGAGACACGGCCCAGACUCCUACGGGAGGCAGCAGUGGGGGAUAUUGCGCAAUGGGGGCAACCCUGACGCAGCAACGCCGCGUGAAGGAUGAAGGUUUUCGGAUUGUAAACUUCUUUUAUUAAGGACGAAAAAUGACGGUA